GCUUGCUUCUUUGCUGACGAGUGGCGGACGGGUGAGUAAUGUCUGGGAAACUGCCUGAUGGAGGGGGAUAACUACUGGAAACGGUAGCUAAUACCGCAUAACGUCGCAAGACCAAAGAGGGGGACCUUCGGGCCUCUUGCCAUCGGAUGUGCCCAGAUGGGAUUAGCUUGUUGGUGGGGUAACGGCUCACCUAGGCGACGAUCCCUAGCUGGUCUGAGAGGAUGACCAGCCACACUGGAACUGAGACACGGUCCAGACUCCUACGGGAGGCAGCAGUGGGGAAUAUUGCACAAUGGGCGCAAGCCUGAUGCAGCCAUGCCGCGUGUAUGAAGAAGGCCUUCGGGUUGUAAAGUACUUUCAGCGGGGAGGAAGGGAGUAAAGUUAAUACCUUUGCUCAUUGACGUUACCCGCAGAAGAAGCACCGGCUAACUCCGUGCCAGCAGCCGCGGUAAUACGGAGGGUGCAAGCGUUAAUCGGAAUUACUGGGCGUAAAGCGCACGCAGGCGGUUUGUUAAGUCAGAUGUGAAAUCCCCGGGCUCAACCUGGGAACUGCAUCUGAUACUGGCAAGCUUGAGUCUCGUAGAGGGGGGUAGAAUUCCAGGUGUAGCGGUGAAAUGCGUAGAGAUCUGGAGGAAUACCGGUGGCGAAGGCGGCCCCCUGGACGAAGACUGACGCUCA
rnacentral:rRNA from 1 species